rnacentral:rRNA from 1 species
UACAGAGGUCUCAAGCGUUGUUCGGAUUCAUUGGGCGUAAAGGGUGUGUAGGUGGCGCCGUAAGUCGGGUGUGAAAUUUCGGAGCUUAACUCCGAAACUGCAUUCGAUACUGCGGUGCUUGAGGACUGGAGAGGAGACUGGAAUUCAUGGUGUAGCAGUGAAAUGCGUAGAGAUCAUGAGGAAGACCAGUGGCGAAGGCGGGUCCCUGGACAACUCCUGACACUGAGGCACGAAAGCUAGGGGAGCAAACAGG